CCUACGGGAGGCUGCAGUGGGGAAUAUUGGACAAUGGGCGAAAGCCUGAUCCAGCCAUGCCGCGUGUGUGAAGAAGGCCUUCGGGUUGUAAAGCACUUUCAGUGGGGAAGAAAGCCUUGGGGCUAAUACCCUCGAGGAAGGACAUCACCCACAGAAGAAGCACCGGCUAACUCCGUGCCAGCAGCCGCGGUAAUACGGAGGGUGCGAGCGUUAAUCGGAAUUACUGGGCGUAAAGCGCGCGUAGGCGGUCUGAUAAGCCGGUUGUGAAAGCCCCGGGCUCAACCUGGGAACGGCAUCCGGAACUGUCAGGCUAGAGUGCAGGAGAGGAAGGUAGAAUUCCCGGUGUAGCGGUGAAAUGCGUAGAGAUCGGGAGGAAUACCAGUGGCGAAGGCGGCCUUAUGGACUGACACUGACGCUGAGGUGAGAAAGCGUGGGUAGCAAACAGGAUUAGAUACCCCAGUAGUC
rnacentral:rRNA from 1 species